GAAACGACUGCUAAGACUGGAUAGGAGACAAGAGGCAUCUUCUUGUUUUUAAAAGACCUAGCAAUAGGUAUGCUUAGGGAGGAGCUUGCGUCACAUUAGUUAGUUGGUGGGGUAAAGGCCUACCAAGACUAUGAUGUGUAGCCGGGCUGAGAGGUUGAACGGCCACAUUGGGACUGAGACACGGCCCAAACUCCUACGGGAGGCAGCAGUAGGGAAUUUUCGGCAAUGGAGGAAACUCUGACCGAGCAACGCCGCGUGAACGAUGAAGUAUUUCGGUACGUAAAGUUCUUUUAUUAGGGAAGAAUAAAUGAUGGAAAAAUCAUUCUGACGGUACCUAAUGAAUAAGCCCCGGCUAACUAUGUGCCAGCAGCCGCGGUAAUACAUAGGGGGCAAGCGUUAUCCGGAAUUAUUGGGCGUAAAGGGUGCGUAGGCGGUUAAAUAAGUUUAUGGUCUAAGUGCAAUGCUCAACAUUGUGAUGCUAUAAAAACUGUUUAGCUAGAGUAAGAUAGAGGCAAGUGGAAUUCCAUGUGUAGUGGUAAAAUGCGUAAAUAUAUGGAGGAACACCAGUAGCGAAGGCGGCUUGCUGGGUCUUUACUGACGCUGAGGCACGAAAGCGUGGGGAGCAAACAGGAUUAGAUACCCUGGUAGUCCACGCCGUAAACGAUGAGUACUAAACGUUGGGUAAAACCAGUGUUGAAGUUAACACAUUAAGUACUCCGCCUGAGUAGUACGUACGCAAGUAUGAAACUUAAAGGAAUUGACGGGACUCCGCACAAGCGGUGGAUCAUGUUGUUUAAUUCGAAGGUACCCGAAAAACCUCACCAGGUCUUGACAUGCUUCUGCAAAGCUGUAGAAACACAGUGGAGGUUAUCAGUUGCACAGGUGGUGCAUGGUUGUCGUCAGCUCGUGUCGUGAGAUGUUGGGUUAAGUCCCGCAACGAGCGCAACCCUUAUUGUUAGUUACCAGCACGUAAUGGUGGGGACUUUAGCAAGACUGCCAGUGAUAAAUUGGAGGAAGGUGGGGACGACGUCAAAUCAUCAUGCCUCUUAUGACCUGGGCUACAAACGUGAUACAAUGGCUGUUACAAAGGGUAGCUGAAGCGCAAGUUUUUGGCGAAUCUCAAAAAAACAGUCUCAGUUCGGAUUGAAGUCUGCAACUCGACUUCAUGAAGUUGGAAUCGCUAGUAAUCGCGAAUCAGCAUGUCGCGGUGAAUACGUUCUCGGGGUUUGUACACACCGCCCGUCA
rnacentral:rRNA from 1 species